rnacentral:rRNA from 1 species
GACGAACGCUGGCGGCGUGCUUAACACAUGCAAGUCGAACGAAGUGGCGAACGGGUGAGUAACGCGUAAUCAACCUGCCCUUCAGAGGGGGACAACAGUUGGAAACGACUGCUAAUACCUCAUACUGAAGGAGGGGAUUGCGUCGGAUUGGCUAGUUGGGAGGGUAACGGCCCACCAAGGCGAGGAUGAGUAGCCGGGCUGGGAGGAUGAAUGGCCACAUUGGGAGUGGGACACGGCCCAGACGCCUUCGGGAGGCAGCAGUUGGGAAUCUUCCGCAAUGGACGAAAGUCUGACGGAGCAACGCCGCGUGAGUGAUGACGGCCUUCGGGUUGUAAAGCUCUGUUAAUCGGGACGCGGUACCGGAAUAGAAAGCCACGGCUAACUACGUGCCAGCAGCCGCGGUAAUAC